CUCACUGGCAGCUUCCGAAAAUAGAGCUCUCUGCACGGUUCUUCUCUACUAGUGAUUGAUUUUGGAGAUCGCACUGUCCUGGGUUCUUCUCUGCGAGAUCCGUUGCUGUACGAGCCGUCGUUGGGGAGUGUGUCUGGCGGUUAGGAUUUUUCAAGGGAAUCAUUGUUUCCCUCUUAGCGACGGAAAGUGCCCACUCAAUAGAUGCACAUGUGUGCAUAUGUGGAUAAUCUAUGUGAACAAAAGAAAAAGCGAGAAUUGUGCUGAAAAAGGCGGACGUAAAGUGGAAGUCGGUCAUUCCAUUUCGCCUCCCAAGUGGCCGGACGGUGCGGUGUGCCUACCCUUUUGCCAUUGGUUUCAGUUUAAGCAAAUCCCUCCAUUAUGGCGAUCUCCGUGUUCUUCUCGAUAAAAUUAUUGCUGUGCAUGUUGUUGGCAUUGGGGUUCCGUGCUGACGCGCUCAGAGAGCAGAAAACUUCGUAUCGAAUCGAGGCUGUUGAAAGGGGGGGAGCGGCUUUGCCGCCAGUUGUCGAGGACCGUAUGCCGACGUUCAGUUUUGUUGAGAUUGAACAACGUUAUCCGGGGCUUACGACCUCCGAAAUGACGGGAAUCGAAGUACAGUCUGCCUGUGCGUGCAUGGUGAACAAGCAAUGCAACCCUGAUAAGUAAACGAGUUACGCACGAGCGGCGUUUGUUGGGACCCCAGACGCCCCCCGAACCCUCUCAUUUACGCGUCUGUCGACACGGUUGUAACACCUGGAAGAAGUAUGUUCGGUUCAGAAUCCGAGAGUUUCUGUCUCUUCAAGAUCGCAGGAGCCCCCAUCUGGAUGGUUCAGGCAGCGCGUCGCCGUUUAGCAAUGUACGUCGCCGGCCGUCCCCUUCUAAAUGCCUUCUCUGGGAACAAGCCCUGAAGCAGUGCUCCGAUUCUUCCAAGGUGGAACACGAAUCUCCUGGGAUACCAUAGGGGUAGUAGAGCAAUGCAAAUAUGAUAUCCUCUUCGCGGACCUUGUGACUUUCUUGGGACUGAUUGUCGCAGUUUUUGUUGUGUACUGCUAAAAUCUCAGCUGCUGGCCUUCUGUAGACGCGCUGGUGACACGCUGUUAGAGAGGGUGUUAUGUUUCCUGGUAACUGUCGCGGUGUGUAGUUAGGUGAAUGAUUGGUUUAAAGUGUUUUUUCUUGUACGUACACGGAAUUCACAGGGAGAGGAGAGAAUGGUCCUGUCGGUAACUGUCCACUGUGAAAUAAACUCGUAUUACAGACGAUAAAAACCC
rnacentral:lncRNA from 1 species